AUACCGCGUGAGUGAAGAAGGCUCCGGGUUGUAAAGCUCUUUCGCAAGGGAAGAAAACUGUGAUCGAAUAAAUCAUGAGGUUGACGCGUCCUUGAUAAGAAGCACCGGCUAACUACGUGCCAGCAGCCGCGGGUAAUACGUAGGGUGCGAGCGUGAAUCGGAAUUACUGGGCGUAAAGCGUGCGCAGGCGGUUUAGUAAGUCGGAUGUGAAAUCCCCGGGCUCAACCUGGGAACUGCGUUCGAAACUGCAAGGCUAGAGUGUGUCAGAGGGGGGUAGAAUUCCACGUGUAGCAGUGAAAUGCGUAGAGAUGUGGAGGAAUACCAAUGGCGAAGGCAGACCCCUGUGAUAACACUGACGCUCAUGCACGAAAGCGUGGGGAGCAAACAGGAUUAGAUACCCUGGUAGUCCACGCCCUAAACGAUGUCAACUAGUUGUUGGUAGAGUAAAAUCUAUGAGUAACGUAGCUAACGCGUGAAGUUGACCGCCUGGGGAGUACGGUCGCCAGAUUAAACCUCAAAGGAAUUGACGGGGGCUCGCACAAGCGGUGGAUUAUGUGGAUUAGUUCGAUGCCACGCGAGGACCUUACCUGGCCUUGACAUGUACCGGAUUGAGCAGAGAUG
rnacentral:rRNA from 1 species